rnacentral:rRNA from 1 species
GUGGGGAAUAUUGGGCAAUGGGCGCAAGCCUGACCCAGCAACGCCGCGUGAGGGAAGAAGGCUUUCGGGUUGUAAACCUCUGUCCUUGGUGACGAAACAAAUGACGGUAGCCAAGGAGGAAGCCCCGGCUAACUACGUGCCAGCAGCCGCGGUAAUACGUAGGGGGCGAGCGUUGUCCGGAAUUACUGGGCGUAACGGGUGCGUAGGUGGCCUUUUAAGUUGGAUGUGAAAUACACGGGCUUAACUUGGGGGGUGCAUGCAAAGCUGGGAGGCUAGAGUGCAGGAGAGGAAAGCGGAAUGCCUAGUGUAGCGGUGAAAUGCGUAGAUAUUAGGAGGAACACCAGUGGCGAAGGCGGCUUUCUGGACUGUAACUGACACGGAGGCACGAAAGCGUGGGGAGCAAACAGGAUUAGAAACCCGGGUAGUCC